rnacentral:rRNA from 1 species
AACGAACGCUGGCGGCGCGCCUAAUACAUGCAAGUCGAGCGAGAAGACGUAGCAAUACGUUUGUAAAGCGGCGAACGGGUGAGGAAUACAUGGGUAACCUACCCUCGAGUGGGGAAUAACUAGCCGAAAGGUUAGCUAAUACCGCGUACGCUCCUUGGACUUCGGUUCAGGGAGGAAAGCGAUACCGUGGGUAUCGCGCUCUUGGAUGGGCUCAUGUCCUAUCAGCUUGUUGGUGAGGAACGGCUCACCAAGGCUUCGACGGGUAGCUGGUCUGAGAGGACGAUCAGCCACACUGGCACUGCGACACGGGCCAGACUCCUACGGGAGCAGCAGUAAGGAAUAUUGCGCAAUGGGCGAAAGCCUGACGCAGCGACGCCGCGUGGGGGAUGAAGGUCUUCGGAUUGUAAACCCCUUUCGGGAGGGAAGAUGGAACGAGCAAUCGUUCGGACGGUACCUCCAGAAGCAGCCACGGCUAACUUCGUGCCAGCAGCCGCAGU